ACUAUUUUGGCAGAAAAAAUGUAAUGGUUUUAGAAGUCAUGUAUAUAUAAAUUAUUAUAUAAAUAGUA
rnacentral:tRNA from 1 species